AUUGAACGCUGGCGGCAGGCCUAACACAUGCAAGUCGAGCGGAUGAAGGGAGCUUGCUCCUGGAUUCAGCGGCGGACGGGUGAGUAAUGCCUAGGAAUCUGCCUGGUAGUGGGGGAUAACGUCCGGAAACGGUCGCUAAUACCGCAUACGGCCUGAGGGAGAAAGUGGGGGAUCUUCGGACCUGACGCGAUCAGAUGAGCCUGGGUCGGAUUAGCUAGUUGGUGGGGUAAAGGCCUACCAAGGCGACGAUCCGUAACUGGUCUGAGAGGAUGAUCAGUCACACUGGAACUGAGACACGGUCCAGACUCCUACGGGAGGCAGCAGUGGGGAAUAUUGGACAAUGGGCGAAAGCCUGAUCCAGCCAUGCCGCGUGUGUGAAGAAGGUCUUCGGAUUGUAAAGCACUUUAAGUUGGGAGGAAGGGCAGUAAGUUAAUACCUUGCUGUUUUGACGUUACCAACAGAAUAAGCACCGGCUAACUUCGUG
rnacentral:rRNA from 1 species